CCAACCCUGGUAGGGGACAGACUCCUAGAGAGGCCGAAUGAUGGAUGGACAGAAAUGGGGUGGAGGGGAGGGGGGGGCGCGGUGUCUCCCCUGUUAAACUCCUGUCUCUCGUUGAAAGCAGGGCGUGAAUUUCUCAAACCCACCACCUGGGUGAGCCCCAGCAGGGUGGUGGCGCUCGGGGGAAGCGUCACCAUCCGCUGUGAGGGCUGGUUCCUGGGCAUGGAGUUCUUUCUGCGUAAAGCUGGACACCCGAACCCGCAAGUGUGGACGAUGUUACCUGAUGGGACCAGGGCUGAAUUUCCCAUCCCCAGUGUCGGCCGGGAAGAUGGAGGGAGCUACACCUGCGACUAUCGCUCAAUAACGGAUCAGAGUCGCUGGUCGUAUCCCAGUGACCCCGUCGAGAUCAUUGUGGGAGAGCCCAGCUACCCCAAACCCAGCAUCUCCCUGAGCCCCAGCUGGGGGGGGUCUCCCUGGGGGGAGCCCUGAUCGUCCGGUGUCGGGGGCAGCGCCGGGGCGUGCGGUUUGUGCUGAAUAAAGAGGGACGUCAUUUCCCACCUGUGGAUUCGGACAGGUUGGAGGCUGAGUUUUUCAUCAGCAACGUGCGCCGGGAGCCCGGCGGGAGCUACAGCUGCUCCUAUCACAGCAGAUCGGAGCCGUUCAACGUGUCGUACCCCAGUGACCCCGUGGAGCUGGUGGUGAGAGAUCCCAGCUUACCCAGACCCUCCAUCUCCCUGAGCCCCACCGGGGUCACCG